AAUGAAGACCCGUAUGAAUGGUUAAACGAGGGCUUAACUGUCUCCUUUUUCAAGUCAAUGAAAUUGAUCUACCCGUGCAGAAGCGGGUAUCACCCUACAAGACGAGAAGACCCUUUGGAGCUUAAGAUAACUGAUCAACUAUGUCAAUAAGGGACCCCCCCCCUUAAACCAAGUAAACAAUGAUCAUAAUCUUCGGUUGGGGCGACCACGGGAGAAAACAAAGCUCCCACGAGGACUAGGAGUUUACCCCAGAACCAAGAGAGACAUCUCUAAGUCACAGAAAUUCUGACCCACAGAUCCGGGUUACACCGAUCAACGAACUAAGUUACCCUAGGGAUAACAGCGCAAUCCCCUUUCAGAGUCCAUAUCGACAAGGGGGUUUACGACCUCGAUGUUGGAUCAGGACAUCCUAAUGGUGCAGCCGCUAUUAAGGGUUCGUUUGUUCAACGAUUA
rnacentral:rRNA from 1 species